rnacentral:rRNA from 1 species
AUGAAGAACGCAGCGAAAUGCGAUACGUAGUGUGAAUUGCAGAAUUCCGGGAAUCAUCGAGUUUUUGAACGCAAGUUGCGCCCGAGGCUUGUCCGAGGGCAUUUCCGCUAGAGCGUCACCGCGCCCCCCCACCAGACUCCCUUGCGUUGGAGUUUUGAGUGGAACUGGCCGUCCCGGAGUGUGCUAAUACUCGGGUCGGCUGAAAUGGAGGGAAUUUGGCCGCCGUGGCAUCACUCGCCCCGCGAUCAGGUGCGAUUUCGAACUCCCACGACACUUGGUGUCGUGGGGGACUUGGGUCUUCCAAGUGCGGGGCUCCCAAGUGGUGAGCCCGAGUGCGCGUGCCCGAGUUCCACAGCAGGCUACCUCUUUUACAUACUUGGGGCCUUCCACUCCGAGUGGAGGGCACCGGAACGAAAGAGGAAACACGAAGAGGUAACGCAUCAGACCUCUAAUCGGAAAAGACUACCCGCCGAG